rnacentral:lncRNA from 1 species
UUGAGCGCCUUUGCUCUUAGGUGGAGCUUGCUUGGCUUUGCUGUUUAGUGGAGCUUCUUCAGCUUCUUUCUUGCUAGGAUAGUUUUCUUCACCAGUCAAACUGAUUGCGUCCCUGAGCUGUGAAACAUCAAUCUCCAUCUUCCCCAUCCUCUCUGUAAACACUCUCUCCAUAUUCGCCAUUUGCAUACUGAGCACAUCUCCCAAUGAAGUGACAGAUGUGCGGAUAAGACCCUCAAUGAAACUCUUAGUUUCAGGACCAAAAGUCAGAUACUUUUCUGCUGAUCGCUUACACAGCACCUUCUUCUUUCUUGUUUCUGCUCCUUCAUCAAGAAACUUUCUCUUGCCUUUUCCUGCAACCUUAACCGAAGAGGUCUCCUGGUCUGGUACAACAUCCGUAUGAUCCACGCUCUU